UACGAGGGGGGCAAAUGUUGUUCGGAAUCACUGGGCGUAAAGGGCGCGUAGGCGGGUUUUUAAGUCAGGUGUUUAAUCCCGGGGCCCAACCCCGGACAGGCACUUGAAACUGGGAAUCUUGAAUAGUGGAGAGGUCGGUGGAAUUGGGGGUGUAGCGGUGGAAUGCGUAGAGAUCCCCAAGAACACCCGUUGCGAAGGCGGCCGACUGGACACAUAUUGACGCUGAGGCUCGAAAGCAUGGGGAGCAAACAGG
rnacentral:rRNA from 1 species